rnacentral:rRNA from 1 species
UACGGGGGGGGCAAGCGUUGUUCGGAAUUACUGGGCGUAAAGGGUUCGUAGGUGGCCAACUAAGUCAUACGUGGAAUCCCUCAGCUUAACUGGGGAACUGCGUCUGAUACUGGUUGGCUUGAGUGCAGGAGAGGAACGCGGAAUUCCAGGUGUAGCGGUGAAAUGCGUAGAUAUCUGGAGGAACACCGGUGGCGAAGGCGGCGUUCUGGACUGCAACUGACACUGAGGAACGAAAGCCAGGGGAGCAAACGGG